UACGUAGGGUGCAAGCGUUUGUCCGGAAUUAUUGGGCGUAAAGAGCUUGUAGGCGGUUUGUCGCGUCUGCUGUGAAAUUUCGGGGCUCAACCCCGAACUUGCAGUGGGUACGGGCAGACUAGAGUGUGGUAGGGGGAGACUGGAAUUCCUGGUGUAGCGGUGAAAUGCGCAGAUAUCAGGAGGAACACCGAUGGCGAAGGCAGGUCUCUGGGCCAUAACUGACGCUGAGGAGCGAAAGCGUGGGGAGCGAACAGG
rnacentral:rRNA from 1 species